ACGAACCGUGCGAACGUUGUUCGGAAUCACUGGGCUUAAAGGGCGCGUAGGCGGCUUGCCAAGUCAGGGGUGAAAUCUUUCGGCUCAACCGGAAAAGUGCCCUUGAUACUGGCGAGCUCGAGUGAGGUAGGGGUGUGUGGAACUGAUGGUGGAGCGGUGAAAUGCGUUGAUAUCAUCAGGAACGCCGGUGGCGAAAGCGACGCACUGGACCUCUUCUGACGCUGAGGCGCGAAAGCUAGGGGAGCAAACGGGA
rnacentral:rRNA from 1 species